UAGGGAAUCUUCCACAAUGGACGCAAGUCUGAUGGAGCAACGGCCGCGUGAGUGAAGAAGGUUUUCGGACCGUAAAGCUCUGUUGUUGGUGAAGAAGGAUAGAGGUAGUAACUGGCCUUUAUUUGACGGUAAUCAACCAGAAAGUCACGGCUAACUACGUGCCAGCAGCCGCGGUAAUACGUAGGUGGCAAGCGUUGUCCGGAUUUAUUGGGCGUAAAGCGAGCGCAGGCGGAAGAAUAAGUCUGAUGUGAAAGCCCUCGGCUUAACCGAGGAAUUGCAUCGGAAACUGUUUUUCUUGAGUGCAGAA
rnacentral:rRNA from 1 species